GGCCCCCUCACCUUCUCUUUCACUCCCCCCCAAACCAAACUCUCCUCUUUUUUGCUUCCCUUCGGGCAGCAAUUGGGAGCCAUGUAAAAGAGGAAGCUGGAGAACAAGAAGAAAGCGUUUGUAGGGUGCAAGCUAGUACAAAGGAAGAUGCUCUUCACAAAAGGAGAAACCCGUUACUUUUAUUCGCAGUAUAUACAUAAAUAACCCCUCCUUCCUAACUCCAUGACCUCUAUUUCCUCCCUCCUUCCUCAAGCCUUAUUCAUUUCGUGUGUCCGAAUCUUAUUCGGACUGAAUUUGUCGUCUCAAACUCUCCCAUCAUGCCCCAAACUUUCCAUCUGCCUUCCCAUCUCGAUGGCAGUCAUGGACAUGGGAAAGAGAGGUACUCAAGGAGCAUCGAUGGCUGCCACGCUGGCCGACGUUGGAGGAGCUUUAGAAGGAGAGAUGGUGAUUGGAGUGUUCGACUGAGUUGGAGGUAUUGGCGCGCCUCAAUCUGAAAACAUGGUUACAUACUCGAAUAGCCAUGUAAUUGGAUUGAGCCGCGUCAAUAUCUCCUUCACACGAAACACUCACAUCGAUCUAAGCUGUUGAUCCGUAGCUGCAACUGAAUGACAAAACACUGGCUGCCGACUGAACUAGAGGAAGGAAAAGGUUUUAUUUUUGCUAAUAAUGUUCUUUUUAGCUCGCAUACUUCUGAUAAAAUGGAGUGUCCCUCUCUUCAUGCAUGUUCGUUCGGAGAAAGUAGAUUCCUACACUGAUAGAUUUCGGGGAAUCAUGGCAUAAUGAUGUCUGGUGAAAAUUUCUUCCAUAGCUAAAUCAUCUGGGACUUUUCAGAAGAAUCAAAAUAGUUAUUUGGAUGGGUAAAA